UGGAUAAUUUGACAGAAGAGAGUGAGCACCCAGAGGCAGUUGCUAUAAAGUGUAUACCAAUACUUUUGCGUGCUCACUUCUCUCUCUGUCAGAUUCGUUAA
rnacentral:pre_miRNA from 1 species